GUAGGGAAUAUUGCACAAUGGGGGAAACCCUGAUGCAGCGACGCCGCGUGAGUGAUGAAGGCCUUCGGGUCGUAAAGCUCUGUCGUAUGGGACUAACACAAUGAAGGUACCAUGCAAGAAAGGAUCGGCUAACUUCGUGCCAGCAGCCGCGGUAAGACGAGGGAUCCUAGCGUUGUUCGGAAUCAUUGGGCGUAAAGCGGGUGUAGGCGGAUUUAUAAGUCAGGUGUGAAAUUCCAGGGCUCAACCCUGGAAGUGCACUUGAUACUGUAAAUCUUGAGUGUGGUAGAGGUUACUGGAAUUGUUGGUGUAGUGGUGAAAUACGUAGAUAUCAACAGGAAUACCGGAGGCGAAGGCGAGUAACUGGGCCAACACUGACGCUGAGACCCGAAAGCGUGGGGAUCAAACAGGAUUAGAUACCCCGGUAGUCC
rnacentral:rRNA from 1 species